UUUCCGUAGGUGAACCUGCGGAAGGAUCAUUCAUAAUAAAGUGUUUUACGGCACUUUUUAAAAAUCCAUAUCCACCUUGUGUGCAAUGUUAGAUCUCGUCAAUCUUGGCGAGGUUUUUAUACAUCAACUCAUUCUUUAACUAAUUUGUCUGAAAAAUAUUAUGAAUAAAACAAUUCAAAAUACAACUUUCAACAACGGAUCUCUUGGCUCUC
rnacentral:misc_RNA from 1 species